GGGGGUGGGGUGUCUGCAGAGGAUGAACCAGGCGCCACCUUCCUGCCUUUUGGGACCCGACCAUAGCUGGGGCUUUGAGCUGCUGACACAGACCACCUGCGCAGAUAGGAAACUGAGGCACAGAGUAUAAAUAACAGCCUAGGCAGCCAAGUGUCUAUUCAGCAAAUGCUAGCUUAACUGAAGAUGCCGGAGAUGUGGCCGGAGCAAUUGCCUGGAUGCAGGAAUUCCUUCACUUGGUCCUCAGUACCUUAUAAACUGGGCCUAUAAUCCCAGCACUCAGUAGUUGGAAGUAGGAAGAUCAGAGGUCAGCAUCAUCCUCAUCUUUGACACAUGAUGGAAACCCAAGGAUAACCUGGGCUACAUGAGCCCUAUCAGGGGAAAAUGUUGUCAGGGGCUGGGCCACACAAGCUUGAAGACACAAGUUUGGAUCCCUAACCACCCACAUUCAAACAGAUCUUGGUGGCAGGUCUGAAACCCCAGCACUCAGGAAUUAGAGGUAGGAGGACUCUUGGAGCUUGCUGGUCCAACCAGACAGACAUUCUAGCCAACCAGUGAGGACCAGGUUCAGCAAAAGACAUUGUUCAAAAAUUAAGAUGAAAAAGCGAUUGAUUAAGACACCCACUGUCACUCUCUGGGCUCCACACAGGUUCACGCCCUCCUCCCCCAAUACAUGUACCCCCCAUGUGUAUACACACGGAUAAUACAUAAACAUACGUAAAACCACAGAAGGAGCUGUUCGGUGACUUGCUCCAAGUUUCUUAAGAGCCCCUCUCUCAACAGCCCCGGCAGCCUGCCACUGGCAGAUGCCCACACAUCUACAGUGUGGCCUCUCUGUAGGUCAGUGUGACUAGCUGCAGAGGUUGGCAUUGUAACUCUGUGAGAACACAAGCAUCAAGUAUUAAGUAGCUAAAAUAUGCCAGUGUUUCCAUAAUGUGUAUCACAGCACUUUAAACUCACAGCGACCCUGAGAGAGAGGAAUUACUAUUCUGGUAUUGCAAAUGCAGGAACUGAGGCAGAGAAAGUAAUUUGCCUGUGGCCUUACAGUUAGUAAGGAUGGAACUGGAGCCCAGGUAUUUUGGCUCUACUCCCUAAUGUUCUUGCUAAUUGACUAAACCACAGUGGCCUUAUUAGUGUGUGUGAGGCUUGUGCCUGAGUGUGACUUCAUUUGUUGGGUGGAAGAGAGGAACCAUGCAUGUGGUCACAGCAGGGGCCACUGCCUCUGGUGCAGCCUGAGAUGUGAGGAGAUACAGAGAAACAAGCGGGGAAGGCUGAUCUGAAAUGAACCUGUCAAUGGAAAGGACAAGGUCCACUACACCUUUACUUGCUUUGAAGGAUUUACCUGGUUAUGAAAUGUAGCUAAAUUUGAUUUUGAAAUUAAAAAUGUCCUCUCUGUAAUAAUAAAAGAGAUCAUUCAUCAAGCA